AAGCUUUCAUACUUAUUAUUGAAGAGAGGUUAGAUUUUCAUUCGUGCUUUCCUUGAAUAUCAUUCAUGGUACUUCUUGCAUCAACUUGAGAAAGAUUCCACCUACACUUAAUUUGAAAACUAUCUUUGGAAUCACAUUCGAUAUGUUCUGCUCUGAAAUUGGCUCUGAUCUAUGCCCAUUAAUCUUAUUCUAAUAUUAUUGCCUUGAGUUAUAUGAUUCAUAUUCUUGCAAUAAUUUGACAUGCAAAUCAGAGUACAAUAAGAAAUAUUUGAGUAGUCUUAUCUUUGUGCUUAAUGUUUUACUAUCUUUUUGAUGUUGUCAAAAAGGGGGAGAAAUAUCUAAGUAUAUGCUCAUAAUGCUUUAUGUGUUGAUUAUGUUAAGUUGAUUAAAUCUAAAGCAUUAUCAUGAAGUCUAUGUUAAAGAUAUAUAUUUUCUACUUCAAACAACUUAGCUAUGCAUUACUUCUAGAACACAAUAUAUUU
rnacentral:lncRNA from 1 species